rnacentral:rRNA from 1 species
UGGGGAAUAUUGCACAAUGGGCGGAAGCCUGAUGCAGCAACGCCGCGUGCGGGAUGACGGCCUUCGGGCUGUAAACCGCUUUCGCCUGUGACGAAGCGUGAGUGACGGUAAUGGGUAAAGAAGCACCGGCUAACUACGUGCCAGCAGCCGCGGUGAUACGUAGGGUGCGAGCGUUGUCCGGAUUUAUUGGGCGUAAAGGGCUCGUAGGUGGUUGAUCGCGUCGGAAGUGUAAUCUUGGGGCUUAACCCUGAGCGUGCUUUCGAUACGGGUUGACUUGAGGAAGGUAGGGGAGAAUGGAAUUCCUGGUGGAGCGGUGGAAUGCGCAGAUAUCAGGAGGAACACCAGUGGCGAAGGCGGUUCUCUGGGCCUUUCCUGACGCUGAGGAGCGAAAGCGUGGGGAGCGAACAGGCUUAGAUACCCUGGUAGUCCACGCUGUAAACGGUGGGUACUAGGUGUGGGGUCCAUUCCACGGGUUCCGUGCCGUAGCUAACGCUUUAAGUACCCGCCUGGGGAGUACGCCGCAAGGCUAAAACUCAAAGGAAUUGACGGGGGUCAUAGCUGUUUCCU